UGACAGUAUCCCUUUAAAUAAAAAAAUAUUAUUGUUAUUUUGACCUUUAAUACCAUUGGGGGUUUAAUAAAUCAUCAAGGUUUAAAAGUCCGACUAGAAGAAAAUCCAACUUUAAAGGAGAAGGAAAGGCUAAAAAUGGAAGCAGAGUUUUUUAGUGCCACAAAAGCACCGCAGCCUGAAAAGUGAUCGCCUGGAUGGAGGCUGAGUCAGAGAAGCGAUAACGUUACAGAAUGUUCUAAACCGACAUCCAGAUCAUGGGCACUUCCCUGGCUCAAUGGGAGCCUCAAUGGGAGCCUCCAAUGCACUUCCCUGAUGGAAGCAGAGUUUUUUAGUGCCACAAAAGCACCGCAGCCUGAAAAGUGAUCGCCUGGAUGGAGGCUGAGUCAGAGAAGCGAUAACGUUACAGAAUGUUCUAACCGACAUCCAGAUCAUGGGCACUUCCCUGGCUCAAUGGGAGCCUCCUGAACUCUGACAUUCAGCUCAGUUAAGGAAAGGCUUCUUCAGUGCCGUGUCAUCAUCUCAGAUUAGAAAUUGACAUCAUAUAAUCCGGGCUGUGCGACACAAAGAUGGAGGAAUCCAUGGCCGUACUCCAACCACGUUAUUUGAUAUCAUCUGUUUCAUGUUGUCACAUAGAUAAGAAUCAUUUACCUUAACAGCUUGAUUUUCAUAUCGUAAAUAUAUAUCCGGCUUCCCUUUGGCUUUUGGUAAAGCAAAUUUAAGUUUAAAGGGAUUCUGUCAUGAUUUUUAUGGUGACGUUCUUAUUAGGGAAGCGCCGAAUCCAGGAUUCA